GCGGAUGUGGUGCACGGUGCACGGCUGCAAUUCUUAAUUGGGUGUGCAAAACUGUGAGAGCAGCAAGACGGGGUUCGACUCCCCGCGUCCGCG